AUUGAACGCUGGCGGCAGGCCUAACACAUGCAAGUCGAGCGGAUGAAGGGAGCUUGCUCCUGGAUUCAGCGGCGGACGGGUGAGUAAUGCCUAGGAAUCUGCCUGGUAGGGGGGGAUCACGUCCGGAAACGGGCGCUAAUACCGCAUACGUCCUGAGGGAGAAAGUGGGGGAUCUUCGGACCGCACGCUAUCAUAUGAGCCUAGGUCGGAUUAGCUAGUUGGUGGGGUAAAGGCCUACCAAGGCGACGAUCCGUAACUGGGCUGAGAGGAUGAUCAGUCACACUGGAACUGAGCCACGGUCCAGACUACUACGGGACGCAGCAGUGGGGAAUAUUGGACAAUGGGCGAAAGCCUGAUCCAACCCUGCCGCGUGUGUGAAGAAGGUCUUCGGAUUGUAAAGCACUUUAAGUUGUGAGGAAGGGCAGUAAGUUAAUACCUUGCUGUUUUGACGUUACCAAAAGAAUAAGCACCGGCUAACUUCGUG
rnacentral:rRNA from 1 species